rnacentral:rRNA from 1 species
UAAGGAAUGCAUGCGAUUGGAAGUGCAUGUCCAAGCAAUGAGUCUUGAGUAGAGUUAAAUGCUUUACUCUUUAAGGACAAGUUGUGACGGGGAGCGAAAUAAUAGUAGCGAAGUUCCUGAUGUCACACUGCCAAGAAAAGCUUCUAGUGAGAAAACAACUGCCCGUACCGUAAACCGACACAGGUAGUCGAGGAGAGUAUCCUAAGGUGAGCGAGCGAACUCUCGUUAAGGAACUCGGCAAAAUGACCCCGUAACUUCGGGAGAAGGGGUGCUGACUUCGGUCAGCCGCAGUGAAUAGGCCCAAGCGACUGUUUAUCAAAAACACAGGUCUCUGCAAAAUCGUAAGAUGAAGUAUAGGGGCUGACGCCUGCCCGGUGCUGGAAGGUUAAGAGGAUGGGUUAGCUUCGGCGAAGCUCAGAAUUGAAGCCCCAGUAAACGGCGGCCGUAACUAUAACGGUCCUAAGGUAGCGAAAUUCCUUGUCGGGUAAGUUCCGACCCGCACGAAAGGCGUAACGAUUUGGGCACUGUCUCAACGAGAGACUCGGUGAAAUUUUAGUACCUGUGAAGAUGCAGGUUACCCGCGACAGGACGGAAAGACCCCAUGGAGCUUUACU